GGUUGGGCCGCGGGCCCGGGCUUCGGGCUGUGCGCGCUCCAGCCUUUGGGUGCGUUGUGGCCCAGUGUAACUGAGCUCGCCCGCUUGCGGGUCUUCAAAUAGCCUUCUUUUUUCGUUCCCAACCAGAGCCGUCGCCUUUUUUCCGGAACUGAGCCCAAGGCCCACCAUUGCCAACCACCCACGCUGCCAGGAGGCUUCUUUGAGGCUCAGGGCAACGGUUGUCUUAGUUCUCCAGAUCCCACCAAAUCUUAAGGACACAGUGGGUAAGGCUAGCCCUUUCCUGAUCCCAAGGAGACCCAGAACAGGCUGGAAAAGCAAUGCCGCCUGGCUUCUGCAAACUGCACCCCUGAUCAAACCCGGAUAAAUGAGAUAUUAGAUGGUGCUGUGAACAAAACGCCAUGCGGAUUAGUUUCUAAACAGUGUUCCAAUGUAUAACCUCGAAAACAUUGUUGCGAAGUUGCUAGCUAAAGACAUAACAUGGCCAUUGCACCCUUGAAUUAAUAGCACCUGUGACUGCCUGCACACAACCUACACAAGAUUGGACCUGCCAGCAUCCUGUCAUGAAGAGGGGAAGACCUAUGGCUAGGCAAGGCACAGUAACAGGGAAUGCUGCCACCUGGAGGGCAAGUGCCACAGUGAAAGGUCUGUUCUCAGGCUCAGAGCUUUUGUGUGACUGCACCUUUGUCUUCAAGUCUGUGGCACAGAACACAUACGCGUGAUCCGAGUCAAACUGAGGCAGCACUGGCAGGGAAAGCCAUAUCAUAGACUGGAGAGCUUCAGUCCCAGAACCCAAAGGAUCAAAUUCAUCAUAUUUUAAGUGAUUAGUAAAAUAGAGAGAAAUGA